GCAUAUGUCUUGAAAACAUAAGAAAGAAGUUAAUCCUUUCUAUUAAUUU
rnacentral:tRNA from 1 species